GAUCAUGGCUCAGGAUGAACGCUAGCGGCAGGCUUAACACAUGCAAGUCGAGGGGCAUCGGGAGUAGCAAUACUUGCCGGCGACCGGCGCAAGGGUGCGUAACGCGUGAGCAACAUGCCCGUAUCAGGGGGAUAAUCCAUGGAAACGUGGUCUAAUACCCCAUAGUAAUUAUGUAAGGCACCUUAUAUAAUUUAAAGCUUUGGUGGAUACGGAUUGGCUCGCGUGACAUUAGCUGGAUGGUAAGGUAACGGCUUACCAUGGCUACGAUGUCUAGGGGUUCUGAGAGGAAGGUCCCCCACACUGGAACUGAGACACGGUCCAGACUCCUACGGGAGGCAGCAGUGAGGAAUAUUGGACAAUGGAUGGAAAUCUGAUCCAGCCAUGCCGCGUGCAGGAAGACGGCCCUAUGGGUUGUAAACUGCUUUUGUAUGGGAGCAAUAAGGGCUACGUGUAGUCCGAUGAGAGUACCAUACGAAUAAGCACCGGCUAACUCCGUGCCAGCCGCCGC
rnacentral:rRNA from 1 species